rnacentral:rRNA from 1 species
AGAGUUUGAUCCUGGCUCAGGAUGAACGCUGGCGGCGUGCUUAACACAUGCAAGUCGAACGGGAAACAUUUCAUUGAGGCUUCGGCGGAUUUGGUCUGUUUCUAGUGGCGGACGGGUGAGUAACGCGUGGGUAACCUGCCUUAUACUGGGGGAUAACAGCCAGAAAUGGCUGCUAAUACCGCAUAAGCGCACGGGACCGCAUGGUCCUGUGUGAAAAACUCCGGUGGUAUAAGAUGGACCCGCGUUGGAUUAGCUAGUUGGCAGGGCAGCGGCCUACCAAGGCGACGAUCCAUAGCCGGCCUGAGAGGGUGAACGGCCACAUUGGGACUGAGACACGGCCCAGACUCCUACGGGAGGCAGCAGUGGGGAAUAUUGCACAAUGGGGGAAACCCUGAUGCAGCGACGCCGCGUGAAGGAAGAAGUAUCUCGGUAUGUAAACUUCUAUCAGCAGGGAAGAUAAUGACGGUACCUGACUAAGAAGCCCCGGCUAACUACGUGCCAGCAGCCGCGGUAAUACGUAGGUUGCAAGCGUUGUCCGGAUUUACUGGGUGUAAAGGGCGUGUAGGCGGGAUGGCAAGUCAGAUGUGAAAUCCCGGGGCUCAACCCCGGAACUGCAUUUGAAACUGUCGUUCUUGAGUAUCGGAGAGGCAAGCGGAAUUCCUAGUGUAGCGGUGAAAUGCGUAGAUAUUAGGAGGAACACCAGUGGCGAAGGCGGCUUGCUGGACGACAACUGACGCUGAGGCGCGAAAGCGUGGGGAGCAAACAGGAUUAGAUACCCUGGUAGUCCACGCUGUAAACGAUGAAUACUAGGUGUAGGGGCCCCAAGCCUCUGUGCCGCCGCUAACGCAUUAAGUAUUCCGCCUGGGGAGUACGGUCGCAAGAUUAAAACUCAAAGGAAUUGACGGGGACCCGCACAAGCAGCGGAGCAUGUGGUUUAAUUCGAAGCAACGCGAAGAACCUUACCUAGACUUGACAUGUCCUGAAUUACCAGCAAUGUGGGAAGUUCUUUCGGGAACAGGAACACAGGUGGUGCAUGGUUGUCGUCAGCUCGUGUCGUGAGAUGUUGGGUUAAGUCCCGCAACGAGCGCAACCCUUAUUGUUAGUUGGUACCAUUAAGUUGACCACUCUAGCGAGACUGCCCGGGUUAACCGGGAGGAAGGUGGGGAUGACGUCAAAUCAUCAUGCCCCUUAUGUCUAGGGCUACACACGUGCUACAAUGGCUGGUACAGAGAGAUGCUAAACCGUGAGGUGGAGCUAAACUUUAAAACCAGUCUCAGUUCGGAUUGUAGGCUGAAACUCGCCUACAUGAAGCUGGAGUUGCUAGUAAUCGCGAAUCAGAAUGUCGCGGUGAAUACGUUCCCGGGCCUUGCACACACCGCCCGUCA